CGGCUCGCUGCGGAAUGAUUGAACUUCCCCGGUUUUAGGAGGCUCGCAGAAGGAAGUCGGGAGGCGAGACUGGAGAGGGAGUAGUCCGGUGCUGCGCGCGGGGGAACUAGCUGGAGUGCGAGGCGGGAACACGACCUCGUCCAGACCUCGGAAUUCACAGAAAGUUCAGCAUCUAUUGUUGGGGUGAUUGGACCCAACACCAGAUCGUGGAGGUGACAAAGUCCGGCAGAAUGAAAAAAAUGAGAAAAGACAGUUUGAGAGAGAAAGUGGGUCUGGGGGCCAAUGUGAGUUUGGAGGCUGCAAAGGUGCAGAGCACCAGACUAUUGGUGAUCAAACAAAGAAACAGGUGGUGAGAAUAUGGGGUUGAAAGGGAGCAUUGCAUUAAGCACAUGAUUUACAGCUCUGACGGUUUAGCAUAUGCUCUGCUACUUGAGAUAAUGGAGAGCAUGUUCUUUUAACUCAAGAUACAAUAGAUUCGGGGAGAGCAAAGAGCCAGCAAGUCCAGACACAUUCCAGAGGCCAUGAGCCCUGAAUUCUAUCCAAGCCACGAGGAGUUUUAUGCCCUGGGCUUAGAUUAUGGUGUGUCAGGGUAGCCUUCCACCCUUUAGCACAGAGCUUGGUGUUCCAAAGGCCACGAGGGGUUUUAGACCCUGAACCCCAGACAUGUUUCAAGACUCUUUUACAUUAUGUCAGACUUGCAAGCCCUGCCUCAGCUUCUCUCCUAACACUCAGCUUUUCUCCCAAUAUCUAUUAAAUAGCUCCUAUGUACAAAUCAGUGUGCUGGGUACCUUGGUCACAGUGGGCAGCAACAUUUGAUCAGUCUCUGGCUACAUGAACUUUAGAAAUGCUUAGAUAAAAAAGGUACAUAU